CUAAGUUUGAUGGCGACCGGCGCACGGGUGAGUAACGCGUAUCCAACCUGCCGAUGACUCGGGGAUAGCCUUUCGAAAGAACGAUUAAUACCCGAUGGCAUAGUUCUUCCGCAUGGUGGAACUAUUAAAGAAUUUCGGUCAUCGAUGGGGAUGCGUUCCAUUAGGUUGUUGGCGGGGUAACGGCCCACCAAGCCUUCGAUGGAUAGGGGUUCUGAGAGGAAGGUCCCCCACAUUGGAACUGAGACACGGUCCAAACUCCUACGGGAGGCAGCAUG
rnacentral:rRNA from 1 species